UAGUUGUAGUGUGGUGGU
rnacentral:misc_RNA from 1 species